AGAGUUUGAUCCUGGCUCAGAUUGAACGCUGGCGGCAUGCCUUACACAUGCAAGUCGAACGGCAGCACGGACUUCGGUCUGGUGGCGAGUGGCGAACGGGUGAGUAAUGCAUCGGAACGUGCCAUUGAGUGGGGGAUAACGUAGCGAAAGUUGCGCUAAUACCGCAUAUUCUGUGAGCAGGAAAGCAGGGGACCGCAAGGCCUUGCGCUCUUUGAGCGGCCGAUGUCAGAUUAGCUAGUUGGUGAGGUAAAGGCUUACCAAGGCGACGAUCUGUAGCGGGUCUGAGAGGAUGAUCCGCCACACUGGAACUGAGACACGGUCCAGACUCCUACGGGAGGCAGCAGUGGGGAAUUUUGGACAAUGGGGGCAACCCUGAUCCAGCCAUGCCGCGUGAGUGAAGAAGGCCUUCGGGUUGUAAAGCUCUUUCGGCCGGGAAGAAAUCGCAUGGGCCAAUACCCCGUGUGGAUGACGGUACCGGAAUAAGAAGCACCGGCUAACUACGUGCCAGCAGCCGCGGUAAUACGUAGGGUGCGAGCGUUAAUCGGAAUUACUGGCGUAAAGCGUGCGCAGGCGGUUUUGUAAGAUAGGCGUGAAGUCCCCGGGCUUAACCUGGGAACUGCGUUUGUGACUGCAAGGCUAGAGUACGGCAGAGGGGGGUGGAAUUCCACGUGUAGCAGUGAAAUGCGUAGAGAUGUGGAGGAACACCAAUGGCGAAGGCAGCCCCCUGGGUCGAUACUGACGCUCAUGCACGAAAGCGUGGGUAGCAAACAGGAUUAGAUACCCUGGUAGUCCACGCCCUAAACUAUGUCAACUAGGUGUUGGGUGGGUAAAACCAUUUAGUACCGUAGCUAACGCGUGAAGUUGACCGCCUGGGGAGUACGGCCGCAAGGUUAAAACUCAAAGGAAUUGACGGGGACCCGCACAAGCGGUGGAUGAUGUGGAUUAAUUCGAUGCAACGCGAAAAACCUUACCUACCCUUGACAUGCCAGGAACUUGCCAGAGAUGGCUUGGUGCCCGAAAGGGAGCCUGGACACAGGUGCUGCAUGGCUGUCGUCAGCUCGUGUCGUGAGAUGUUGGGUUAAGUCCCGCAACGAGCGCAACCCUUGUCGUUAAUUGCCAUCAUUUAGUUGGGCACUUUAACGAGACUGCCGGUGACAAACCGGAGGAAGGUGGGGAUGACGUCAAGUCCUCAUGGCCCUUAUGGGUAGGGCUUCACACGUCAUACAAUGGUCGGUACAAAGGGUUGCCAAGCCGCGAGGCGGAGCCAAUCCCAGAAAGCCGAUCGUAGUCCGGAUUGCAGGCUGCAACUCGCCUGCAUGAAGUCGGAAUCGCUAGUAAUCGUGGAUCAGCAUGUCACGGUGAAUACGUUCCCGGGUCUUGUACACACCGCCCGUCACACCAUGGGAGCGGGUUCCGCCAGAAGUAGGUAGCCUAACCGCAAGGGGGGCGCUUACCACGGCGGGGUUCGUGACUGGGGUGAAGUCGUAACAAGGUA
rnacentral:rRNA from 1 species